rnacentral:rRNA from 1 species
CUCAACUGGCGCUGGUUGGUUCUCCAACCAGCAUGCUUGUUUCAGUG